UACGGAGGGUGCUAGCGUUGUUCGGAAUCACUGGGCGUAAAGGGCGUGUAGGCGGCCAACUAAGUCAGACGUGAAAUCCCUCAGCUUAACUGGGGAACUGCGUCUGAUACUGGUUGGCUUGAGUGCAGGAGAGGAAUGCGGAAUUCCAGGUGUAGCGGUGAAAUGCGUAGAUAUCUGGAGGAACACCGGUGGCGAAGGCGGCAUUCUGGACUGCAACUGACACUGAAAGACGAAAGCCAGGGGAGCAAACGGG
rnacentral:rRNA from 1 species